rnacentral:rRNA from 1 species
AGUGAAGCGGCAACAGCUCAGAUUUGAAAUCCGGCACCCGUGCCCGAGUUGUAAUCUGGAGAGGAAGCCUCUGCGACGCGCCGCCCGAGUUCCCUGGAACGGGACGCCUUAGAGGGUGAGAGCCCCGUAAGGGACGGCGCCUAGCCUCUGUGAGGCUCUUUCGACGAGUCGAGUAGUUUGGGAAUGCUGCUCUAAGUGGGAGGUAAAUUUCUUCUAAAGCUAAAUACCGGCCAGAGACCGAUAGCGCACAAGUAGAGUGAUCGAAAGAUGAAAAGCACUUUGGAAAGAGGGUGAAACAGUACGUGAAAUUGCUGAAAGGGAAGCGCUUGUGACCAGACUCGCGCCCGGCGGAUCACCCAGCCUCGGCUGGUGCACUCUGCCGGGCCGGGCCAGCACCGGUCCGGCCCGGGGGAGAAAGGCGGCGGGAACGUGGCCCUUCGGGGUGUUAUAGCCCGCCGCGUAAUGCCCUGUGUCGGACCGAGGCCCGCGCUCUGCAAGGGUGCUGGCGUAAUGGUCAUCAGCGGCCCGUCUUGAAACACGGACCAAGGAGUCGUCCUCGCAUGCGAGUGUUUGGGUGUAAAACCCCAGCGCGUAAUGAAAGUGAACGCAGGUGGGAGCCUCGGCGCACCAUCGACCGAUCCUGAUGUUCUCGGAUGGAUUUGAGUAGGAGCAUGCGGGGCCGGACCCGAAAGAAGGUGACUAUGCGUGUAUAGGGUGAAGCCAGAGGAAACUCUGGUGGAGGCUCGCAGCGGUUCUGACGUGCAAAUCGAUCGUCAAAUAUGCGCAUGGGGGCGAAAGACUAAUCGAACCUUCUAGUAGCUGGUUUCCGCCGAAGUUUCCCUCAGGAUAGCAGUGUCGAACUCAGUUUUAUGAGGUAAAGCGAAUGAUUAGGGACUCGGGGGCGCUAUAUUGCCUUCAUCCAUUCUCAAACUUUAAAUAUGUAAGAAGCCCUUGUUACUUUGUUGAACGUGGGCAUUCGAAUGUAUCGACACUAGUGGGCCAUUUUUGGUAGCAGAACUGGCGAUGCGGGAUGAACCGAACGCGGGGUUAAGGUGCCAGAGUGGACGCUCAUCAGACACCACAAAAGGUGUUAGUACAUCCAGACAGCAGGACGGUGGCCAUGGAAGUCGGAAUCCGCUAAGGACUGUGUAACAACUCACCUGCCGAAUGUACUAGCCCUGAAAAUGGAUGGCGCUCAAGCGUCCCACCCAUACCCCGCCCCCGGGGUAGAAGCGAGGCCCCGGGGAGUAGGCG